CCGGCAUCCAGAGAGCGUCCUUCUGUUUUCGCAAUUCGUGCUAAGAAAUAUCAUCGUAGUUGUGCCCAAACUUUGCUCUGAAGAUGCCUUCUCCCUGUGACUCCUGCAAAGACACUUGCUCGGAUGGUCAGUCCGGCUGUGGAAAGGACUGCAAAUGUGGUGACGACUGCAAAUGCUCUGCUGACGGAAAAAACUGUGGCUGCGCCGGAGAUAGUGGACAAAGCAAUGAAUAAUCAUCACGAGUUCCUUAUUUUUUAUUUAUGUAAUUUUUAUUAUUAUUUUUUUUUUUUAACAAUGUAGGAUUGUUUAUGCGUGUCAUCGACGCUUCUAGUGGUAUAUCUAUUAAAUGCGCUUUUUAAGUAGCGAUGUUGGUUUGAGUAAGAUACUGCAGCAUGUAUGAAUUUUACAUAUUUUAUUACAGUUUUAGGAAAUAAAAUACAUUUCACUCA